rnacentral:rRNA from 1 species
UACGGAGGGUGCGAGCGUUGUUCGGAAUCACUGGGCGUAAAGGGCGUGUAGGCGGUCUGUUAAGUCUGAUGUGAAAGCCCGGGGCUCAACCCCGGAAGCGCAUUGGAUACGGGCGGACUCGAGUCUCGGAGAGGAGGGUGGAAUUCCUGGUGUAGCGGUGAAAUGCGUAGAUAUCAGGAGGAACACCGGUGGCGAAGGCGGCCCUCUGGACGAGGACUGACGCUGAGACGCGAAAGCGUGGGGAGCAAACAGG